rnacentral:rRNA from 1 species
UACGUAGGGGGCAAGCGUUGUCCGGAUUUAUUGGGCGUAAAGCGCUCGCAGGCGGUCCGAUGCGUCGUGCGUGAAAGACCCCGGCUCAACUGGGGAGGGUCGUGCGAUACGGUCGGACUCGAGGCCAGUAGGGGGACGCGGAAUUCCGGGUGUAGUGGUGGAAUGCGUAGAGAUCCGGAGGAACACCAGCGGCGAAGGCGGCGUCCUGGACUGGUACUGACGCUCAGGAGCGAAAGCGUGGGGAGCGAACAGG